UACGUAGGGUGCAAGCGUUGUGCGGAAUUAUUGGGCGUAAAGAGCUUGUAGGCGGUUUGUCGCGUCUGCUGUGAAAGGCCGGAGCUUAACUCCGUGUAUUGCAGUGGGUACGGGCAGACUAGAGUGCAGUAGGGGAGACUGGAAUUCCUGGUGUAGCGGUGGAAUGCGCAGAUAUCAGGAGGAACACCGAUGGCGAAGGCAGGUCUCUGGGCUGUAACUGACGCUGAGAAGCGAAAGCAUGGGGAGCGAACAGG
rnacentral:rRNA from 1 species